UGGAUAAAAAGUAUAAGCACCAGAAUCGCGUAAAGAACUCCAGAUAAGGUAACAAACAUUAAAAAUUAAUUAAUUUUCCAAGCUUCCAUCACUAUCAAACAAAAACCUCAAAAGCCGUCGUCAUGCUCAUGCCUAAUCUCAAUCUCAUCAAGAAAAACCCAUUAAAGAAGAAUAAGAGGUUGAAAAGGCGAAGAAGAAUUGUACUGUUACAAGAAAAGACAUGGGAGGAAUUUCAACUCUUUCAGCCUCAAAACACUGGCACAAUAUUCCAACGUCAGCAUUCCCAAAUAAUUCAAGAAUCUUAAACCAAUUUAUUGACAAAAUUACUUCAAUUCAGUUCAAUCACACUUUCAAAUCAUCAGGAAAAGAGAAUCCAUUUUCUUGUUUUGCUUUGGAUGCUUCGAGGGAGUCUAUCCCGCCACUGGUGGUGGUGGGAUCGGCCAAUGCUGAUUUAUAUGUGGAGAUUGACAGGUUGCCUAAGGAGGGUGAGACCAUAUCUGCUAAAACUGGGCAAAUCUUGGCAGGUGGUAAAGGAGCCAAUCAGGCAGUUUGUGGGGCAAAACUGGCAUAUCCCACAUACUUUUUGGGGCAAGUGGGGGAUGAUGCAAAUGGAAAGUUAAUCACUGACGCACUAGAGGGUGGUGGAGUGUGUUUGGAUCGUUUGAGUAGAUUGGAUGAUGUUCCUACUGGGCAUGCUGUGGUCAUGCUGCAGGCUGGGGGGCAGAAUUCUAUUAUUAUUGUUGGGGGUGCUAAUAUGGCUUGUUGGCCCCAGACUCUGCCCGAGGAGGAUCUGGAGGUUAUUAAGAAUGCUGGGAUUGUUUUGCUUCAGAGGGAGAUUCCUGAUUCUGUUAACAUCCAGGUUGCAAAGGUUGCUGGGAGUGCACUUGUCCCAGUCAUCUUGGAUGCUGGCGGAGUUGAUGCACCAAUCCCUAUAGAGCUAUUUAGUUUUGUCGAUAUUUUCAGCCCAAAUGAGAGUGAGCUUGCUCGUCUGACAAACAUGCCAACAGAAACUUUUGCACAGAUAAUCCAAGCUGUGGGAAAAUGCCAUAAAAUGGGUGUUAAGCAAGUGCUUGUAAAACUCGGAGCUAAGGGGGCUAUUUUUUUCACCGAAGAAGAGGAACCAAUUAUACAACCUGUCAUAUCGGCUCCAAAAGUAAUUGAUACCACUGGAGCUGGUGACACUUUCACUGCUUCUUUUGCUGUGGCUCAUGUGGAGGGAAAAUCCAAGCAGGAAUGCUUGAGAUUUGCUGCUGCAGCUGCUUCACUUUGUGUUCAAGUAAAGGGAGCCAUUCCAAGCAUGCCUGACCGAAAAUCUGUUUUGGAUCUUCUUCAGUCUCUUUGAGGAUGUUCGCAUUUGUAGUGUAGUUCAUCUCGCAUAUAAAUAAGAGGUGUUCAGAACUUGACCUGUGUCCAUUGAUGGAGAUAAGUUCAAUUUCUGCUAUAUGUAUACUAGAAAUGGCUGGCACGUUUGGGAUGGCUGGAAGGCCAUGUAAUAACAAUUCGACGUGGGACAAUACAAUAAAUCCUCUUUUGAUACGGGAUUAUAAAAAGCCAUUGAAACAAUGUUACCCAACAAAAGUUGUUCACUGUCAAGUGCACCACACACGAGAUAAAAGUAAAUUCAGGCAAGAACUAGGGGAGCUUCCUCUUGGUGUGAAUUGUAGAGGUCAAAACAGUCUGAUUAUCUUGGACUUCCCAUAGUUGGAGCUUCUUCACCAACCUCACUGCAUUGAUUUCAUGCCUCAGUAGCCACUCUAAGACCAUCUCUUCUCAUCGCAGGAUCACCUAGUGCAAAUGUUGUGCAGAAACACAACAUGCAUGCAAUCCAAAUAUUGGAAGUUUCUGCAGCAGCACCGUUGUGACUUCAUUUAUAUAAGAGAUUCUCUCUCUCUCUCUCUCUCUCUCUCUCUCUCUCUCUCUCUCUCUCUCUCUCUCUCUCUCUUGUAGACAUUGUCAUACUUGAGGGUUAAUAUUUUGUCCACAAGUAUUCUUAAUUAUAAUUCGAUUCCACUAUAUUCAAUAUCAAUUAAGAGUAUAUACGAAGUGUGUAUAUAAAUAUGUAUGUAACAGUUAUGUAGAGACACUAUUUAUAAUUUAGGGUUAACAUUUUGUC